CUUCGGGAUAAGUUAGCGGCGGACGGGUGAGUAACACGUAGGUAACCUGCCUAUAAGAUCGGGAUAACUAUCGGAAACGAUAGCUAAGACCGGAUAACUGGUUUUCUCGCAUGAGAGAAUUAUGAAACACGGAGCAAUCUGUGGCUUAUAGAUGGGCCUGCGGCGCAUUAGCUAGUUGGUAGGGUAACGGCCUACCAAGGCGACGAUGCGUAGCCGACCUGAGAGGGUGAACGGCCACACUGGGACUGAGACACGGCCCAGACUCCUACGGGAGGCAGCAGUAGGGAAUCUUCCGCAAUGGACGCAAGUCUGACGGAGCAACGCCGCGUGAGUGAUGAAGGUUUUCGGAUCGUAAAGCUCUGUUGCCCUAGACGAACAGCAAGGAGAGUAACUGCUCUUUGUGUGACGGUAUAGGAGAAGAAAGCCCCGGCUAACUACGUGCCAGCAGCCGCGGUAAUACGUAGGGGGCAAGCGUUGUCCGGAAUUAUUGGGCGUAAAGCGCGCGCAGGCGGUCAAUUAAGUUGGGUGUUUAAGCCCGGGGCUCAACCCCGGUUCGCAUCCAAAACUGGUUGACUUGAGUGUAGGAGAGGAAAGUGGAAUUCCACGUGUAGCGGUGAAAUGCGUAGAGAUGUGAAGAAACACCAGUGGCGAAGGCGACUUUCUGGCCUAUAACUGACGCUGAGGCGCGAAACCGUGGGAAGCAAACAGGAUAAAAUACCCUGGUAGUCCACGCCGUAAACGAUCCAUACUAGGUGUCGGGAUUCGAUUCCUCGGU
rnacentral:rRNA from 1 species